UAAUACGGAGGGUGCAAGCGUUAUCCGGAUUUAUUGGGUUUAAAGGGUCCGUAGGCGGACCAUUAAGUCAGUGGUGAAAGCCCUCUGCUCAACAGAGGAACUGCCAUUGAUACUGAUGGUCUUGAGUAUAAGUGAGGUUGGCGGAAUGUGUGGUGUAGCGGUGAAAUGCUUAGAUAUCACACAGAACACCGAUUGCGAAGGCAGCUGGCCAACUUAUAACUGACGCUGAGGGACGAAAGUGUGGGGAUCAAACAGGAUUAGAUACCCUGGUAGUCCACACCGUAAACGAUGAUUACUAGAUUUUGGCCUUAUGGUCAGAGUCCAAGCGAAAGUGUUUAGUAAUCCACCUGGGGAGUACGUCCGCAAGGAUG
rnacentral:rRNA from 1 species